rnacentral:miRNA from 1 species
AAAAUGAAAUUUCUAAAUAUUCCACUUUUUGCGAGCUAUACUUAAGAUCAUUAUCUUAAGUAUAGCUCGCAAAAAGUGGAAUAUUUAGAAAUUUCAUUU